rnacentral:misc_RNA from 1 species
GAUGAAGAACGUAGCGAAAUGCGAUAAGUAAUGUGAAUUGCAGAAUUCAGUGAAUCAUCGAAUCUUUGAACGCACAUUGCGCCCUUUGGUAUUCCGAAGGGCAUGCCUGUUCGAGCGUCAUUACAACCCUCAAGCUCUGCUUGGUAUUGGGCACCGUCCUUUGCGGGCGCGCCUCAAAGACCUCGGCGGUGGCGUCUUGCCUCAAGCGUAGUAGAACAUACAUCUCGCUUCGGAGCGCAGGGCGUCGCCCGCCGGACGAACCUUCUGAACUGUUCUCAAGGUUGACCUCGGAUCAGGUAGGGAUACCCGCUGAACUUAAGCAUAUCAAUAAGCGGAGGA